ACCGGCGGCUCGAGUGGUGGCCGCUUUUACUGGGCUUAAAGGGUCCGUAGCUUGAUUCAUGGGUCCCUUGAGAAAUCUAUCGGCUUAACUGAUAGGCGUUCAGGGGAAACUGUGAUUCUAGGGACCGGGAGAGGUGAGAGGUACUGCCGGGGUAGGAGUGAAAUCCUGUAAUCCCGGUGGGACGACCUAUGGCGAAGGCAUCUCACCAGAACGGCUCCGACAGUGAGGGACGAAAGCUGGGGGAGCAAACCG
rnacentral:rRNA from 1 species